rnacentral:rRNA from 1 species
GACGAACGCUGGCGGCGUGCUUAACACAUGCAAGUCGAACGAAGAGCGAUGGAAGCUUGCUUCUAUCAAUUUUAGUGGCGAACGGGUGAGUAACGCGUAAUCAACCUGCCCUUCAGAGGGGGAAAACAGUUGGAAACGACUGCUAAUACCGCAUACGAUCUAAUCGCGGCAUCGAGGAUAGAUGAAAGGUGGCCUCUACAUGUAAGCUAUCACUGAAGGAGGGGAUUGCGGCUGAUUAGCUAGUUGGAGGGGUAACGGCCCACCAAGGCGAUGAUCAGUAGCCGGUCUGGGAGGAUGAACGGCCACAUUGGGACUGAGACACGGCCCAGACUCCUACGGGAGGCAGCAGUGGGGAAUCUUCCGCAAUGGACGAAAGUCUGACGGAGCAACGCCGCGUGAGCGAUGACGGCCUUCGGGUUGUAAAGCUCUGUUAAUCGGGACGAAAGGCCUUCUUGCGAAUAGUGAGAAGGAUUGACGGUACCGGAAUAGAAAGCCACGGCUAACUACGUG